rnacentral:rRNA from 1 species
AUUGAACGCUGGCGGAAUGCUUUACACAUGCAAGUCGAACGGCAGCACGGGGGCAGCCCUGGUGGCGAGUGGCGAACGGGUGAGCAAUACAUCGGAACGUGCCCGGUCGUGGGGGAUAACGUAGCGAAAGUUACGCUAAUACCGCAUACGAUCUGAGGAUGAAAGCGGGGGACCUUCGGGCCUCGCGCGAUCGGAGCGGCCGAUGUCAGAUUAGGUAGUUGGUGGGGUAAAGGCCUACCAAGCCGACGAUCUGUAGCUGGUCUGAGAGGACGACCAGCCACACUGGGACUGAGACACGGCCCAGACUCCUACGGGAGGCAGCAGUGGGGAAUUUUGGACAAUGGGCGCAAGCCUGAUCCAGCCAUUCCGCGUGCAGGACGAAGGCCUUCGGGUUGUAAACUGCUUUUGUACGGAACGAAAAGGCUCUGGCUAAUACCUGGGGCUCAUGACGGUACCGUAAGAAUAAGCACCGGCUAACUACGUG